GAUUUCUGGCUCGGAGAGUCUGGCCCGCCUCGAAAGAGUGUGUGUUGUCGGUACGCUCCAGCCAUCCUUCUGGAAAACGUUUCUGCCCUUCACUGGGUUGGAGGCGCGAUCCAGAUCUUUUACUUUGAAAAAAUUAGAGUGUUCAAAGCAGGCUAUACGCUGUGAAUACAUUAGCAUGGAAUAAUAAGAUAGGGCUUUGGUACUAUUUUGUUGGUUUCUAGGACCAAAGUAAUGAUUGAUAGGGACAGUUGGGGGUGCUAGUAUUCAAUGGCCAGAGGUGAAAUUCUCGGAUUCAUUGAAGACUAACAAAUGCGAAAGCAUU
rnacentral:rRNA from 1 species